CUAUAAAAGUAGACCAUGGAGAGGGGAGCACGUAGAGAGGCACAGCACUUUAUCCACAUCUGUAUAAAUACGAGCCAUCCCUUCAGUUAAGAUCAUCUUUCAUGCCGUAUCUGUAUAUGUAUUUGCCAUUGAUUACUACAAAACACCUCAGCCCACUUGAAAAUCUCCUGAGAAAAUAAAGGAAAAGGGCAAUGGUAGCAGUAGUAGCAAACACCCCACCUCUUUAUUUCUGCUCUUUUUGCCAGAUUUGCUGAGAUCUUCUAUCUUGCUCUAUCACUCACUCCUUUUCUCUGACUCUCAUGAGGAGAGCGACACAUCCCGUCCUCUCUAACGGGGCUCGUCUUCCGUGAUCUCUGCUCUUUCCAAUUUUUACUUUCCCACCUUUCAAAAUAGUACUAGUAAACUUCCCUUCGUUUUUGCUUUUCUUCUCUUUUUCCCUUCUUGUUCCCAGAGUUCUAUAACUUGUUUCUCUUUCAAGAUGCAACUUGCAUGAAUAGGGUUUGAAAAUGGGGUUGAUGCAUUCAGCAGUGGGAUCUAACUCGCCUUCAAGAAGUCUCAGGUGCGAGGGGGCACAUCUCCUGUUUACAGAAAAUAUGUCUUUCUCUGCAUGAUCUACGUGAGUUUGAUGUCUAACUAUAUCGUUUUUUGGUCUUAUGCCCAUCUUUUCUGCAUGUGGUCAUUUUAGUUAUCUCUUUAUAUUGUUUUUAUUUUCUCUCGCUUGACCUCUUCCCUUGACAUUCUGUGCUCACUCACUGGUUAGAGGAUGUAUACAUGUAUGGUCUUCCUGAGUCUAGGGUUGGGGUUUACUGCAGAUGAUGCAUCCAUCUUGGAGAAUGCAAUGUCUAUACUCUUAGAUCAGCAAUAAUUUUAUUAUAAAUUAAAAAAGAAAAGUCUGAUUUAGAUUUACUAAUUUGAUUUUAAGUUGUUUGCCGUCUCUCCUACGAAGCAAUCAACGUUAAAAGGUACUACUACUAGUAACUGCUUAAUACCCUUCGUCUGGCACUAAAUAGAUCUAGACUGCCUGCCCUUGAAUUUCUUAUCUAAUUCCUAUUUCAGAAGAAGAGAAUGCAUUUUGAUUAUGCCAUUUCUAUAUUUUUCAGUUUCUUCAGUAAAGUCUUCUCUUUCAGAUAGCUUACUUGUUGUCUAUGAUCCUACCAUGUCUAAUGAGAUCAUUAAUUUCCUAGGCCGUAAAGAAUCUGUAUCAGUGAUAUUAAUGCUAAAAUCCAAUUAUCAAGCAUUUAACACGAUCAUAGUCCAUUGGCUAUCCAAUGCCAAUUUCUCCUGCCCCAGAGAUAAGAAUCAUUACCGUAUAAGAGGGAGAAGGGGGAAUCAAAGAAACCAGAUUGUGCUUUAGAUUAUAGUGGGCACUAAGAAACACAUAGAGAGUCGUUCUUCCUUCAAGUUAAAGUUACAGAAAAUACUUGUAAAAGUUAUAAAGACUGUGACAACCGGGAGCUAGAUUAGAGGACCACAAAAUCUGCUGUUUGGCUAGAGCAUAAUUCUACCUUGAUAGUUAAGCUAUCGUUUCCUUGAGUUCAUGCUAAUAACAUUAUCUAGUGCAUCAAAAGCAGCUAUUGUGUGAUAAUCUAUAUUGAUGACUUGUAUGCUGGGAUUUUUGCUAUUGGAGUUAUCCUUGUUCCCAACAGCCUUUGGCCAUUGUGAUUGCUGGCUGCAUUGCCAAAAAUUAUACGAGGGAGCUUUCUUCAGUCCACUCAUGGGUGGGCGGAGGGAUUGAAUUAGCUGCCGACUCAUUCAUUCAAACACAAUAGAAAGGAUCAUGGGAUUGUGCUACUGUGAAUGUGUGAAUGAUGCGGGAGGUAAACCACAUCCUUCUCUUCUCUGUGCUUGGACUGAAGGGAGCUCCCUUUCAUGGAUUUCUUCUAUUGUGUUACCCAUAGCUUUAUUCGAAAUUCUGUGUUGGAAGAGGAUUCUCCUAUUCUUCUAUCAAUCAUCGCCGGAAGUACAUUGCAAAUGAUUCGACCAAAUUGCAGGAAUGCAGGGUUGAGGACGAAUUUGCCUCCGGUAUGGUUUGCAAGGCCGGCUUCCACCGUGACAUAGGGUACCUUGAAUCAUCCUUAUCCUUGGUUGUGAUGUCCUUAUUCCCCGCCAGGCCGGUUUUUGUGCCAUUUUCCUUGGGCAGAUUCUUAUCAUUUCUUCCGCUGCAAACAAUUGAAGAUUUGGGGUUUCUUGAUGCUGCUAAUUUAAGGAGGCUGUCGUAGGUUUCAUCAUCCAAGGCUAGCCCACGCGGCAGUAAAAAGUAAAGCUGAUUGCAGCUUAGCUGGAAGGAUUCUGGGAGUACAGUUUUGUCUGAAAAGCAUCUGAUGACUUUGUGGUAGGGGUAUGCUAACAGAAUGUCUUUUACUCGGAUGCCUUGUUUGAAUUUGAGCAAUUCACCGUCUUCUUUGAUGACCGGAACUUGCUUGUUGACGGUUGAAGACGGAUCACAAAUGCAAGAUAAUGAACUCCCCAUUUGGUUUAGCAGUUUAGCUAUAGAGAUUCUGCAGACUUUUUUUUUUUUGCAUUUGGAGAGGGGGGAUUUCAUGUGGGCAUAUCAAGGUUUUGUCUUUCGAUUUAUCCUAAGAACCUGGAAAGGGUAUAGAUUCGGUGGAGAAACAUAAAAAGAGUCUUGUAUAGGUGUAUAUGCUUAUUCUCGUACUUUAGGUUAGCGCCAAAAUGUCUGUGUUGGAACUCUCUAACCCUCAAAACGACUUUUCGCAAGUAACCAAAUGGGUGUGUAUUGAACAAGAAGAAGGUUUUGUUUUUCGUUAUGAUUGGCAUAUUAUUGCA